CCAAACUUUUGAGCGGCAAACUAAUUUGUAGAUAAAUAGAUAGAUAGAUGGAUACAGGUGAUUGUUCCUUUAAAUAGAGCAAGUGGUCGUCAUACAGAUGCAUUGUGGGAAAUGUUCGGAGCCAAUCAGAGUUUUCUGUGUACUGUUUGAUUUUUGACCUUUUUACUCUUGUGGCGGUAGUUUACAGUCGCUUGUUCUUUCAUUUUUUCAUAAUUUACACAACGUGCUUAAAUAAACCAAUAUUUAGCUACCAACGACGUCAGACGUAAACACACGUUCUGUGUGUUCAGUUUGAUCCGCGUGCUGGAGGUUUAACUCGUUGCUAUGGCGACGGAAUGGCAGGGUCCGUGCAGACCGACGCUCUGUGUAAGCACAAAUAUUUACUGGAUAAACUCGAGAAACAAACUGAAUAAGACGGAAAAAAGUCACAGCUCGCCAUGUGAAGAAAGCGGAGAGAACGGAGCGCAGCCGCCCCGUGCUGGAGCUUCACAAUCGACACCAAAAACGGCGAAAACCGUCCUAAAUCAGACGAACAGCAUCCUAGAGAUUGUGAAGACCCCACACUGGACCAACAUAAACCCAAACCCAGCUCAAGCUCAGGGCCCGCUUGCAUAAAGACCCUUAAGUGUAAUUUUCCCUUAAGUUCUUACAGCACACUACUGGAAGACGCAGUGGAAAGUUGCUGGAGACUGUCUGUGAGACUGAUGCUGCCCAAAUCUGCACCUCGCACCCCCUGUGAGCAGGUUUGAGCUUGAACACUGUUUCACUCGACCGUUAAUAAGCUGAUGGAGACUCUUCGUCAAACAAGUUGGCCGUUGGAUUUAGAUUUUUCAGAAAAAUAACAAUCAUAUCAAAACACUGAUAGUGAAAAACUCCGACCAGCGCCAGCAGAUGCCAUCAAGCCUACUCGAUGCGGAAAGCUGUCUUGAAUAUCUUUCGGAGCAGUUCCGUCAGACCAGUCGAGACAGGUGCGUCCACAGCUUCUUAUCAGGAUUUCCAUCUGUUGCUGAUCUUGCAUCUUCCAUGCCAGGCCACAGACACCUGCAGGCACGCAUCAGUGCACAUUCUGCUACAGAAUAAACAGUCGACCGUUUGCGGCUCCGCUGGAUGCACAGCCUGCCCAGUGUGCAAGAUCGUAAUGAAAGAGAGUCGGCUUUAAUCAGGGUCCGUGUUCCUCUCUUAACUCUGCAGCCAGCGUAAAAAUACAAAGCCCAUCGCCGCUGCAGUCUUGAUCCCUCUGACAGCUUGGGUUUGCCCUCAGUGAGUUUCAAAUAGUCAAAUCAGCAUUAACACUGACUUCUCAAGUGAAAUAUAUCGAGCAGACCAAUUAUUUUGUUGAUAUUUACUUUUAGGAUUAUCGCAUUGACUAUUAAUGUGUGUGGCAGCUUUGUUAAUUUCUUACUUGCAGUUUUAGUACUUUGAAUAUUUAGUAGUAUUUAGACCUUUAACUUGUAGUUUUCUUGAUAAUUGUUAUUCUCAUAUUCGUAAACAUGCAAAUAUCAGUUUUGUCUGGAUAGUCCAACCCUACCCUGAACUCUGGCUUUGAUCAUGAACUGGUGAGAAAUUAUAAGGGAACACCAUCCAAGUAUCUGUUGCACAUUGCCCCAUCUACAUAUUUAUAUUUAUUAUAUAUUACUGCUAAUGUCUGUUUUGAAAUGAACCUGCUUUAAGGGCUAAAGUGGUUUCAAAUCAGAUAGCAGAUAAUCUGAAAAUGUAGUUUCCCAGGAAUUCCUGAAACAAACAAGCAAACAAACAAAAAAAAAAUCGAAUCUUAUUUAGAAAUCUGUGCAUUUUCUUUUGAAAACCCAACAGCUGGAAACCCUCUGUUUCUUUUUUUUUUUGUGUGUUUUCAUCUAUGCACACUUGAAUUGCCGCACAUUUGUUACUUAGCUCAACACAUCUUUUUUAGAUCAUCCUUGCUCCGAUGACAGAAGAACAGAUAAUGGACUGAAACAAACAGAUGGGUUUAAAUACACCGAACAGAACAGGUGAUUAAUAAGACAGCAACCUAGCACUAGCAGACAAAAACAGAAGAAUAUUUAGAAACUACCACAACAAAAAGAAUAAACUUAACAGGGGAACCCAGGGACAAAAGGGGAAGAGAGAUGAUUAAGAAAAUAAAUCCACAAAAACAGAAUGUAAACCUGAGAUGUUUGUCUUUCAGCUCUCAUGGAAAGUUUGUGUGUCAAAUCUGUAAUGUUGGUUUCAUUGCAAUCUUCUAAUAUUACAUAUGUGUUGCACAUGAAGGAAAUCAAGGAAAGGCCUGGAAGCGAUUCAUUUGUAGAUUAGAUAUAAUGUUUAUGUCCUUCAUAUGUUCGUAGAAUUUCAUCUCAGUUGGCUUCCAUUGAUGAUUUGUGUCAGCUCUGUAUUUUUGGUAACUUUUAAUUAACAUUCAUAUUUUUUAGGACACCUGCAUUCUGACCAGCUUCAAAAUGUAGUUUGUUUAUCACAGUAUCGCUUUUAGCAUUCAGAAGAGGCCAGAUCCCCAUCCCCACGCUCUUGACUGAUUGCAAAAGUUACGUACACAAUGGAGCCGCACAUGAAUAUUUCUGCAUCCAGGAGAUUUUCAGGAUUUUCUAAAAUGAGUGCUUGUGCACAGCUUAUAUUUGUUUGUUUGUGUAAUAAUGGAAAACACGAAUCAUUUUGUAUGAAUGUAUGAAUUUUUGACUUCUGACUACUUAUGGUUUGCUUGUUUUGUGAACUUGAAAAUAAAAUGUACUUUUUUUUAUAAUUAAAUGAAAUGUAUUUAUUUUUUUCUUAUGUGUUUAAAAAAAAGAUAAGAAUAGCAUCAUCUGGCUUUAUCAGCUUGUCUCUUAACGCUAACAGAACAAUAAAACAUUAAUAUAAGUUCUUAAUGUGAAGUUAGACACAAUACAACAUACAAGUUGUAAAUUCAAAUGUGUUCACAGAUUUAAAGGCACAUUAAAAUUGUACAAUAAUUCCCCUCAUAUGAACUAAAUGAAUUUAUAAAUGUAUACUAUGCACAUUUUUAAAGGCUUAAAUGCACAUUACAGGUUCUUAAACUUAAUGGCUAAUUUAACAGUGUUAUUAAAUGAAUGCUUUAAAUUGUAAACUAAGGAAUGCACUUAAUAAAAAGCUUAUUUGUUGUAAAAUAC